GGAAUCGAGUUAACUCCCAACCCAUGUGAACCAUACCAAACUGUUGCCUCGGCGGG
rnacentral:rRNA from 1 species